AAAGAGUGCGUAAUAGCUCACUGGUCGAGUGACUCUGCGCCGAAAAUGUACCGGGGCUAAACGUAUCACCGAAGCUGUGGACUGUUCUUACGAACAGUGGUAGGAGGGCGUUCUAAGGGCUGUGAAGCUAGACCGUAAGGACUAGUGGAGCGCUUAGAAGUGAGAAUGCCGGUAUGAGUAGCGAAAGAGGGGUGAGAAUCCCCUCCACCGAAUGCCUAAGGUUUCCUGAGGAAGGCUCGUCCGCUCAGGGUUAGUCGGGACCUAAGCCGAGGCCGAAAGGCGUAGGCGAUGGCCAACAGGUUG
rnacentral:ncRNA from 1 species